rnacentral:tRNA from 1 species
UCCCUAGUGGCUCAGACAGUAAAGAAUCUGCCCACAAUGCAGGAGACCCAGGUUCGAUCCCUGGCUUGGGAA